GUUAAAGCGCCUUACCUUAGGGUUUCCUCUGGGGUAAGUGAUUGCUUCUACACUGUGAAAAUUUGGCUGAGAGACUCAGACUGGUCAUGGGUAGACCUAUCUGGGGUUUGAUCGAUGCCACUCCUGGUUUCAGGAGCACCCUUCAUAAUAAACCUAGAAAUUCAGUAUUAUAAAGUUUAAUAAAAAACAACUUUUAACAAUGGAUCUCUUGGUUCUCGCAUCGAUGAAGAACGUAGCAAAGUGCGAUAACUAGUGUGAAUUGCAUAUUCAGUGAAUCAUCGAGUCUUUGAACGCAGCUUGCACUCUAUGGUUUUUCUAUAGAGUACGCCUGCUUCAGUAUCAUCACAAACCCACACAUAACAUUUGUUUAUGUGGUAAUGGGUCGCAUCGCUGUUUUAUUACAGUGAGCACCUAAAAUGUGUGUGAUUUUCUGUCUGGCUUGCUAGGCAGGAAUAUUACGCUGGUCUCAGGAUCUUUUUCUUUGGUUCGCCCAGGAAGUAAAGUACAAGAGUAUAAUCCAGCAACUUUCAAACUAUGAUCUGAAGUCAGGUGGGAUUACCCGCUGAACUUAAGCAUA
rnacentral:rRNA from 1 species